rnacentral:rRNA from 1 species
ACCCACUGGAAGCACGGCGGCAUCGUGGGCGUGUUUGGUUACGGCGGCGGCGUCAUCGGGCGCUACUCCGACGUUCCGGAAAAGUUCCCCGGCGUGGCCCACUUCCAUACCAUCCGCGUCAACCAGCCGGCCAGUAAGUUCUACAAGACCGACUUCCUGCGGGCCCUCUGCGAUCUCUGGGAGUACCGGGGUAGCGGCCUUGUGAACAUGCACGGCUCCACCGGCGACAUCAUUCUCCUGGGCACCACCACCGACCAGCUGGAACCCAUCUUCUACGACCUCACCCACGAGCUGGAUCAGGACCUGGGCGGAUCCGGUUCCAAUUUACGUACUCCUUCCUGCUGCAUCGGCCGGGCCCGCUGCGAGUGGGCCUGCUACGACACCCAGGACAUGUGCUACGAAAUCACCAUGCACUACCAGGACGAGCUACACCGCCCGGCCUUCCCCUACAAGUUCAAGAUCAAGUUUGACGGCUGCCCCAUUGGCUGCGUAGCCUCCAUUGCCCGCGCCGACAUCUCCGUCAUUGGCACCUGGCGCGAUGAGAUCCGCAUUGACCAGGAUGCGGUAAAGGCUUACAUCGACGGCGACAUCCUGCCCAGCGGCGGUGCCCACCGCGGCCGCGACUGGGGCAAGUUCGACAUCAAGAAGGAAGUGCUGGACCUCUGCCCGAGCAAGUGCAUGUGGAUGGAGGACGGCAAGCUGGUUAUCGAUAACAGCGAGUGCGUGCGCUGCAUGCACUGUAUCACCGUCAUGCCGCGGGCGCUUCGUCCCGGUACGGAUACCGGCGUGACCAUCCUGGUCGGCUCAAAGGCGCCCAUCCUGGAGGGUGCCCAGCUCUCGCAGGUCAUCGUGCCCUUCAUGAAGGUCGAGCCGCCUUACGACAACGUGAAGGAACUGAUC